UACGGAAGGUCCGGGCGUUAUCCGGAUUUAUUGGGUUUAAAGGGAGCGUAGGCAGGUCUUUAAGCGUGCCGUGAAAUUUUGUGGCUCAACCAUGAGAGUGCGGCGCGAACUGGAGACCUUGAGUGCGCGGAAGGCAGGCGGAAUUCGUGGUGUAGCGGUGGAAUGCGUAGAUAUCGGGAGGAACACCAGUGGCGAAGGCGGCCUGCUGGACAUUAACUGACGCUGAGGCGCGAAAGCGUGGGGAGCAAACAGG
rnacentral:rRNA from 1 species